AAUUAGUCUGCUUAUCUGAAUAUGUUUCUGUAGAAAUUUAGUAAAAGAUGGAAAUAGUGAUGCCAUGUUAUGAGCCUUAAGGAAAACUGAGGUUGUUAAGGUCCCUGAAAAAAGCUACAGUA
rnacentral:snoRNA from 1 species